UCAACUAUAGUCUGUCCUAACCAUUUUUUUUUGGUCAAAAAAUCUGUUCAUCCCUUCUCUCCCUUAUUCGGCGACGAUGACUGUAGAACUUCCUCAACGUUCAUGAAAUGGAUCUGUGAUUAAUCCCAACAAUUGAGAGGCUGGUCCGGCAAGUGUUCUGCUGCGAUUCUGAGAGGCCAGGAAUGUCAAGCGCUCAUGUGGCUUGAUAUGCUGAUGGUGGACAUUAAUAUCUAGAUGUAUCACUUGGAAAGAUACUCUCUUCCCUGAAACAAAGAAUAUCACCAUUAUUUGUUUCCAGAGGCUGAUAAGAUCAAAGACUGAAACCAAAGGUUAUCAACCACGCUGAUUUAUUUAGAUCGGUUUCAGACAAAUGAAACCAAACUUCAGGAAGAGAAAGUUUGAAAGUUGAUCCCAGCUGGAGUCUCCAGCGUCAUUAUCUCCUACAGAGCUCAAAGGUUUCAGGAGAGACUGUUGGAUCCAAGAGAAGCAAGCAAGAUUAAGCUGAACUUAAUAUAGAAGUGUGUGGUUAAUCAUGGUUCACAUUUAUAGAGUAUGUUGUUAUACACCGGUAAUCGGUACCUGAAGGUACUUCUGCAGUCCUAUGUAUACACAUUAAAAGUUGUGGCUCUGCUCUGGGAUCCAUGCAACAGACCGACUGCUGCAGAGGCUCGGUACGUUCCGUCCUUUCAGGUACACCAGAGAGUAUGUGCUUCAGACGCUAUGGCUGUUACCGUUCCUGUCUUCAUCAGUUGAUUUAACUUUUGUACAUGAUGUUAAGUGUUUGCUGUGCAAUCUCUGUAGCUGCAGAGGCUCUGUACGUUCCGUCCAUUUUUUGUACUGGAAAGAUUUUCUUUUUUUGAAGAUAAUAUUAACAGUUUAUAUUGCCAA